rnacentral:rRNA from 1 species
GAUGAACGCUAGCGGCAGGCUUAACACAUGCAAGUCGAGGGGUAGAGGAAGCUUGCUUCCUUGAGACCGGCGCACGGUGCGUAACGCGUAUGCAAUCUACCUUAUACAGGGGGAUAGCCCAGAGAAAUUUGGAUUAAUACCCCAUAGUAUAAUUGAAUGGCAUCAUUUAAUUAUUAAAGUUCCAACGGUAUAAGAUGAGCAUGCGUCCAUUAGCUAGUUGGUGUGGUAACGGCACACCAAGGCGACGAUGGGUAGGGUCCUGAGAGGAGAUCCCCACACUGGUACUGAGACACGGACCAGACUCCUACGGGAGGCAGCAGUGAGGAAUAUUGGUCAAUGGGCGCAAGCCUGAACCAGCCAUGCCGCGUGCAGGAUGACGGUCCUAUGGAUUGUAAACUGCGUUUUGUACAGGAAGAAACACUCCUCGUGAGGGAGCUUGACGGUACUGUAAG